AGGAAUGGGGGUAAAGGGACUUCAUUUGAUUGUCCUUUUGCGUUCAUUUUUCACUUGUAAUGAUGGGUUUUUCUCUUUUUUUCUCUUCUUUUGUUUCACAGCUAGACUUGUUUGUGUAUGCUAUUUUCUCUUUACUUAAUAAACAACAAAAAUAACCAAAGGAAAAGAAGUUAUUCCACUUGGAACUGUCACUUGGGACUCACUUUUUGUGUGAAUAUGGGUUGCCUUGCCUAAUUAUGGGCAAUAAUAAUCUAGGCAUUAAAUUAGACAACAUUAUUUGAUAUUAUAGCUUUGGAGAAAAUUUUGAAAUCUUUAGAUGCGCAUGUUUAUGCUCUAUCUGCUUCUCAUUAGUUUUUAUUACCACUGGUGGAUUGUCGCUGUAAUAUGCGCUCCACAGUCCACACCAUUUUACCCUCAUUAUGAAUCGGAAAAGCUUGUGCCAGAGGCCCAAUCCCAUUCUGCAGUUUUAGAUUUCUCCAUUUAACCCACAAGUUUGGUCUCUAUUAGUUGAGAUGAUUGCCAGAGUCUUACAUUUUUUUCAACACAACUGGACUCUUUACAGGUAUCUUUUUAUGUAGUUCACUUUAUUAUAUUUUAUAAAUAAGUAGAUUCUACUCAAGUUUAUAAAUUAAUAUCAUCAAGAAGCAGGUAUCCUAGGUACUAAUAUGGGAGCCAACUACUUUUGUUCUACUUAUUACCCUUUUAGCCUAUUUCAACUUUGGCGUGUUGAUUAAAUUAAAAAAAUUAACAACUGUUUAACUUUUAAGUAUCAACUAAUUGGAAAAAUUAACCCCCCCCCCC